rnacentral:snRNA from 1 species
AUACCUUUCUCGGCCUUUUGGCUAAGAUCAAGUGUAGUAUCUGUUCUGGCUCUCACUAUCUACACACCAAGUCAGGCUAUCUGCACAAUUAGGGUUUGCAUACGCUGCGUAUUGGUCAAUACGCAGCGUAUAGGGUUACCUAAAUACGCUGCGUAUUGGUCAAUACGCAGCGUAUAUAAGUGGUAGGUGGACGACCAGAC